AGUUGCGCGUUAAAUCGAAUCGUUAAAAUGAAAUACUUUACGAGUAUAAGAACACUUUGUAAAAUGCUAGUGUUCAUAAAAAGUUGUAGAAAUGGAUUAUAAACAGAGAGAAAAAGAUUUCGCUACGCUUUUUCCAUUAACGUAUAGAACAUCAGGUCAUUCAUUUUAAUGAAAAGGUGUGUGGAAAAUAUUGGAAUGGCACAUAUCUUAAGGCGAAGAAACUGACGGAAAUGAAACACAGAGAAGGAAUGACAAUGCUAAUCCAGCUGAUGAUCUAAAUGAUUCCGAUCAUGGUUCUAUACAAGAAACAGAUCCAAAAAAUCCAAAGCGUUGUCGUGAAAAUGCAGGCUUUCCAGAAUCGAAAUCUACGAAUGGAAAGAGGAUAAAAUAUAUGCUAGGAAGAACUAGAAAGUUAUCUGAGGGAGCAGAAGGCAGGGAAGGAUAAAUGUGAAAGAGGAAGAGCACCAGAUUGUCUUAGCCACUAGAUUGAUUAAUUAGAGGAGUGUUAAAAAUAAAAGUGUUAUGAAAACUGGAUUCUGGCAGAGAAUUAGGUUGCAUCUUCUAGAUAUAGAAUACUGUUUUAAUGAAACAGGUGUACAUGGAUUUAAUAACAUUAGAGUGAACUUAGCUUAACUGGUUAAUAGUGUUUAACAAAAUGCAUAAUUUCUUCGAGCUGUAAAACUAGUUGCUGUCGAAAGACUUAUUGCUCUGUUAGGUUUAUUCAUUUUUAUAUAUGCCUUUAUAUGAAAAGUUUUAGGAUGUGACAUUUAGUCGUUUUAAAGUACUUAAAAUGCCUUUGUCUAUAUUUUGCAAGAACUUUCUGCUAGCUAACGCAUAAUACAAUCUAUAAGAGGAUCUUUUUGAAGCAUAGAAUGCAACCAAGCAAAAUAUUGUUUGACUGAGUCAGUUUAUGAGAGGUUAUGGAAAGUGCAACACUCAUUACACUCCUAGCACCGACUUAAGCGAGACUCUUUUGACUUUUAUCGAACUUGUUUAAAGUUGCUGUGCAGGAUGGACAUCUUACUAUAAUAUCAUGGUGACAUUUUUGGCUUAUGAAGUAUUUUGUUGGUUUUAAAAGGCAUGAUUCUUUUGCUGUCUUCAACAAUGGGGGUAAAGUUGUAAAUGUUGGCAACACUGUUCACCCUGGUAUGGUAUAAGGAUCAUGCGGUGUCGUCCAUCCGUUUGUCUCUCGAGAUAACUGUUCGAUAGAAUUCAGUCAAUUGUGGCUUAAAGCAUUCUUUAGUCUCGAGAGGAUAGGAUCCAGAUUGGACUAAACAUUGUCUUUUCAUCUCAUUUUCCAGACGGCAGGGUCCCAACGUUGCACAUAACAUAAUUUUUAAGACUCCGUAACAUGUGGGUGAAUUUAAUCUGAAUCUUAUGUCAACCUUAAGUAUUAGGACUUCUAAAUGGUAAUAUUUAGAUCAUCGCUCCCCUACUGGUGGUACUCAACAUACUUUUGCUGCAAGAAACCUUAAAUGGUAGGAAUUUCAAUUUUACAAUUUGUGGUACUAGCCCACGUAGGGUUUAUAGGACGGGGUCAUUUAAGUAUUUAAAAGAUUUUUUAAACAAGAAUAUAAUGCUUAAUUCAUGAUUUUCACUUAGAAAAAAUAUAACUAUAGGGAGUCUUUCGAAAACAUAUAUAACAAAGUUACUUCCUAUAUUUGCUAUUCAUAAUGAACGGUAGUCAUUUUGCAGAAAGUUUGCUAGUAUAAUAAAUUGAAUCAAUGUUUAUUGUCUCCAUUUAAUGCAUAGAUAACAAACAAUUGAUAAAGUGUAUCUAAAUAUAGAUGUAUAAUAAAAAUAAACUUAAUAUAUCAACAUGUCCAUUGAUAUUUACAAACGUAUUUUAGCUGUAUUCAAAUGUAGUAUAUUUCAAGUUUAAGUAACUAAAUACAAUCUAUUACAAGACCAGGUUUGAUUUGUCUCCUCUUGAUAGGUAAUGAAACAUGCAAUAUCAAAACAAUCCAUGUCAUCACCGGCUUAAGUGGCAAUUUUAUUAUACACAUACUUUGAAUAUAUGAAUGAUGAAAAUAUUACAAUGCUGAGGUGGAACUUAGGCUACAAAUAAAAUCUUAAUAAUGCAAUUAUUUUCAACACCUUGUUGUAAUGUUUUCAUAGCUACCUUCGCCCGGAACACUGAUGAUAGUUUCUAUUCGGAAUGCUUUUAAAAGUUUAACUUUUGAAUAACAAUAUCACAUAUUUAAUACUACAAAUUAAUUCUUUAGUGAUGGAGCAAAUAUGUAGCUAUUAAGUUUAAAUAGCCGUCUGUUUUGUGAGCGAAAUUGGUUGUGAUGAAUGUAUAUUUUGUUUGACACUGAAGUUGUUGAUUGCAGAUUGAAAGUGUUAAUAUACAUGACGUAUUCUAUGUCUUUUUUAUUUUUGUUACAUGUAUUUAAUUGUAUGUUUUCAAUAUCUUGCAUUCAAUUUAGUUGGUGACGGUUUUGCAUAAGUAUUAUAAAUGUUAUUGACAGCAUGUUUUAGUAUGUCUUUUGUAAUACACACUUCUCACUCAUAACGGACAUUUUAUAAAAAAUAAAUUAACAUAUGUCUUUUAGAGCCAAAUAUACGAGUUAUUAACCACUUCUUUUUGAUGAUAAAUUCAAACAGUGAAUCUAGUGGUAAAUAACUUAAUUUGAUUUAGACAGAGUUGUGUGUCUGGAAUAUCAUACAAUAUAAACACAGUUUGAGGAGAAGGAAAUACAUACCGAAUUUGUAUACAUUAUACAUUGAUAUUAUUUUAAUAUUUGACCUAAACAAGUUUUUCUACAGACAUAUAAAAGCUUUGUAGGUGCAAGAAUAUUACUGUAGUAGAUUUAUCAAACACUUCUGUUGCCUCUGGAUUGUUCCAAUUAUAUUGAGGUAAUAACUUUUUGAAACACUUAGAAUGAUAAAGACUCAGAAGGAAAUUAUAACUAUAGCAUUCAUUCUAUUUUUUAACUAGGAGAACUCAGUGAAACAAUUACGCCAGAAACUGUGCACAAAUACAUUUGGUCCAAACACAAAAUGUUGUCAGGGUUGAAAAUGUCGCUGUUGACUGAAUAGAAAAAGUGGAAUGCCACAGGUCGUGGCAUACAUGAAAAUGUUGUAGGCUCGGUUUUCCAUAAUCUCAUAUCCCUUUUAUAAAUACCAGUUUGUUUAGUGCUGUCCAUUGUUUUUUUUCUUUUAGGGCAAGCCCAAUAUUUUAACUUGGGACCAUAUGCCGCUUUUCAUUGGAUUGCACACUAGCGUUCCAUGUGCACUGCUGUAUGAACACCUCUGCGGAUGUCUCUAAAUUGUUUUUGGUACUUUUAACAUGAUUGUGUAAACGUUGAGUUCUGCCCCGGGGCUAGAUGACGUAGACGGUAGCAUGCAUUUCUACUAACGUCCAUGCACAGACUUAAUCAAACAGAGCCUGCAACAUUUUCAAUUUGUCGUGUUGAGCGACCUGUAAAAUUUCUACUUUUUCUAUUGAACUCUUUCUACAUAAUCGUAACCGACUGGAAAUGCUUCACCACUGAUCGAAAAUUGAACCCGCGAUCUCUCGCACCUAAGGCGGGAAACUCUAUCGGGUUGCUAUAAAGCCAGCUCAUAUAGCAAUGCUGUGUAAGUGCACCUCUAUACUCUACCCUGCUACAUACAUCCCUCCAUUUCCCAUUUUAGUAUUUAGCCUCGAAUUCUUAGAGGUAAAACUUAGGUAAAACCUUAUAACUACAACAUAUGAUCUUAAAAGAAUGAAUGAAUACUUCAGUUAUUUUCAUCAAUUUGUUGUAAUUGUUUUCCUAUCAGAAAUACCCUCUCCCGUAACGCUAAAUAUAGAUUCUAUUCAGAAUUUCAGAAUGCUUCUAAACUUUUAAUUUUUGGAUAAAAAUAUCAGAUAUUUGAUAUAACGAAAUGAUGCUUUAGUGGCGGAGCAAAAAUAUAGCUAUUAAUUUUAGAUAACCAUUUAUUUUGUGAGCGACCUUCUUUGUGAUGAAUGCAUAUUUUGAUUGACAUGGAAUGUAUUUUACUUUUAAAUGGUGGUUGCAGAUUGAAAGUGUUAAUAUAUAUGACGCAUUUUAUCUCGUUUUAAUUUUUGUGUAUAGGUAUUCAGUUGUAUGUUUUCAAUAUCUUGCAUUAGUUGGUGAUGGUUUUACAUUAGUAUUAUAAAUGUUAUUGACAGCAUA
rnacentral:lncRNA from 1 species